GCUGGCUCCUCUCUCCAGGGAUUCCAGGAGUUGCUCUUGUUGCCAGGGCUCUGGCCAGGCAGGGUCCAGUGUUGCAGUUCAAGGGAAGUCCCCAGGAUCUUCUCAUUACUCAUUCAUGUUUCUGUAACAUCACUCUGUUUUGAUGAAGGUCAGAAUCGCUGGAAGCUGUCCUGUCAACCUUCUCUGCUUGGACCUAGGCAGAGGCUUUCUGGAACACCUUAGGAUUCUGACUGAUAUUGAAGUGAAGAGAAAAGUAUGCAUUCUCCAGAAUAUGCUAGGAACGGCCAUGGUGCACGUUCACCUUCACAGCCAAUUUAGCCUAUUGGUCGCUGUCCAUAAACAUGUUCAUCUCCAGUGUUAGUCCACAGCUGGUGAAGCACUGUUGAUAGGUUUUGCAGGGAGACAUUAUUCUUGCAGCUGCAAUACCCCCUUUUCUCCAGUACUCGUCACCCAGCUGGUUUCAGGCUUCCACCAGCUCAGGCUCCAACUUCAUAGCCUUUGGUAGAAACUCCUUAGCCUUAGAGACACAAUCAGGAGUCAUGUUCAGUGCCUUCCCAGUCAGCAUCCUCACUGCACCUUGCCCUGAAUUAAACCCACGACUUCCCCCAUCUGCUGCAGGGUCUUCAACAUCUCCUCCAGGGGCUUCUGCAUCUCCUCCUGCACAUCCUAUUGCUCCCCCCCAGCAUCCACAACACUAUGUGUCUUGAAAUUGCAGUCUUGAAAUGAAUAGUCUCUAUUCAUUCAAAAUCCUGCAGUUUCUGCGAGAUCUGCCUGCCUUCUUCCUUUUCAUUAACCAUCAUUUCCCAGCUAUCAUCAUUAAUUAAUUAAUAUGCAAUCUGGUAAAGGCAGUGAUUAGAAAUGGAUUUUUCUGUGAAGUUAAUGAAGCUUAAGCUUCAGAACUCUCACUCCCUGGGCCUAUUCCAAGGCCCUGGCAAAGUGUUCACAUGGUCAUAUGUUUUUGUAAAAUAUGCAAAUGUUAGCUGUUUUAAUCACACUCAGGUAAGAGCACGCUUUCUCUCUACUCUGACUUCCCAUGAAUCUCACUUCUGCUUAUGUUAAAUAACAUAAGAGUAGCAGUGGGCGUUUUUGGGAUUUCAGUAAGGGGAAUUGAGUUGAGGAUGCAUUUUGUUUGGACUUAGUGGGAUAUGUUUAUGUGUUUUUCAGUUGCUUCCAUGUAUAUUGAAGCUAUUGUUAAUCAUCUUGGGUUAGAAAUGUCUUCUAGGAAUUCUUGCAUUGAUCAUUGUGCCAACUCACCUGGCAUUGGGACAUGACAGUGCAGGGCGAGUUUGUAACCUGACGUGAAUACAUUCCACACUCCUAGCUCAAAAAGAAAGUGGGUAGAGACAAAACAAGAUUGAACAUGUAUGGAGCCAGAAGUUCAUCCUUGGAAAAUUCUUCCCAUCAUUCAAUGUGUAAAACGGUUGUGGAGAGAUGACAUUUGGUAUGGGGUCUACAGGAUCCUGUGGAUUGACUCUGAGCUGCCUAUAAAGAGAGUUAGCCAGGAACUGGCUGUACAGGAAGCAUGGCGCCCA